rnacentral:rRNA from 1 species
CGCGUAGGCGGACCUUCAAGUCGGAUGUGAAAACUGGUGGCUUAACUGCCAGCCUGCAUUCGAUACUGUCGGUCUUGAGUACAGAAGGGGAAAGUGGAAUUCCAGGUGUGGCGGUGAAAUGCGUAGAUAUCUGGAAGAACACCAGUAGCGAAGGCGACUUUCUGGUCUGAUACUGACGCUAAAGCGCGAAGGCUAGGGUAGCAAACA